UCAGUAACUCCGGCAACUAAUGCUGUGAACCUAAACUCCUCGGGAGGAGGUUAGGUCAAUCUGUCAUCGAUGAAAGGACAGAUCUCCGCACAUCGUGGAUUUAUCCUCAGCCUAGAAUAAAAUCUAAACCCUGCUUUCUGAAACAGGGCCUAGCAGCAAAUACUUAGCUUGCUGAAGCGAAGCAGUGUUUUGGCGGCCCAGUGGACAGUGUAGCAGGGUCUCCUCCUCUCCGGGUCUCAAGUUGCUGAUAGGAAAGGUCGGCAGCUCAGGUGAGAAACUACCGACGAACUGAGCUGCAGAAUAAGGUCAGCAGGAGAGCGCAAACACGGAUAUGUUGCCCACAAAACCAGCAUGAAGCGACUUGGUCCGACUGUUGACAGGCUCGUGGUCCAGUCCCUGCAGAGUAACACCUCCCCCUGUAGGAUCAAGACAGGACUUCAGCCUAGAAACCUCAAACGCCUGGCCGCAUCACAUGAAGGCUUCUGAGAAACGAAAACCAAAGAGCAGAGACCGAGAGACGAUCCUUUGACAGUGAGUCAGUCAGUUCCUAUGUUUCCAUGUCCAAUCCAUUGUGAACAUGUUUACGAGAAGGAAUGAAGGAACCAGCGUUGUGCCGUCCGAGGUUCCACAUUUACAGUGAGCGCACGGAAGGGGGGUGGGAGGUGGAAGGAGAAAGGAAGGUAAGAGGAACUGAUGGAGAAAUAACUGGAGAACACAAUGAAUGUGGCGAGGGCUAAAAGACACACACUCCCGCUCCUCUCCGAAUAAAGAAAAAAACCUGAGAAAGCAGAAAUCUGAGAGAGGUGGAUACAGGGCUUCUGCACUGGGGUAGCAGGAAUGAAGGAGAACUAAGGAUUCUGGGUAAAUUGAUGGUGGGAGGAGGGAUGGAGCGCCCAACAUGGGUUGCCAGUGUUUUUCUGGCACCUGGACGAAGAGGAUGUCCAUGGCUGUCGAGGGUAGAAGGGGCAGUUGAACCAAGAGCCAGCAGAUGGGGGGGGCCUAGAGUCCAUCGUGGGUGGUCAACAUGUCUUCAGCUCUGCGGUGGGACUCCAAGGCUUUUGUGGUGUAGAUAUCCUGAGGCAACUCAGACUUGCGUCGCACCAUAGGCCGUUCUUUCCGCUGUUCAUGCUGCAACUGAGAGGAGACCAGAAAAGUGAGGCUUAAUUAGAAACACGUCAUCGUCUCUUGUCAACUGUUCUGAUCACAUCUUCAUGAGAUGAAGCACAAUUCAGUUACAUCAAAAUCUAAUUUACAGAGGAAAAGCAACACCAAAUUAAAAUAUGGCAUUACAGGUAUGACAUUCAGCCGUACCUAGGCAAAAAUAUUAUAACAACUUUAAAUUAAAUACACAGCAUCAGAAGUCCUGCACUACAUUUAUGGAGCCCCAAAGUGUUCAAUAUUAAAUAUAUAAACACAUUGUCAGAUAAACAACUACUUUAAGAGAUCUAAGAAAUGAUUACUCAUUGACAAUGACAACUCAACUGAUUAUGAAUUCUUAUUCAACAGUGUUUUAUUGGAGUAAAGUCAUUUAAGAAGAUUUUAUUUCAUAACUGCAUUUUUUUUCGUUACAUUUUAUUUCUUUCCACAUACCAUAAUUUUUUACAUCAUAAUGACAUUUUUCAUGAUAGUGGUAGAGU